GGUUAAGUACUUUAUUAGAAGACUUGGUUUGCAACUAAUUAGUGAGCUUGCUCCUUAACCA
rnacentral:tRNA from 1 species